UACGGAGGGUGCGAGCGUUGUCCGGAAUCAUUGGGCGUAAAGGGCGCGUAGGUGGCGGGACAAGCGUGCGGUGAAAGCCUGGGGCUCAACCCCGGGUCGGCCGUGCGAACUGUUUUGCUUGAGCACUGUAGAGGCAGGCGGAAUUCCGGGUGUAGCGGUGGAAUGCGCAGAUAUCAGGAGGAACACCGGUGGCGAAGGCGGGUCUCUGGGCAGUAACUGACGCUGAGGAGCGAAAGCGUGGGGCGCGAACAGG
rnacentral:rRNA from 1 species